GUGGAAAUCCAGCGUUGCUGAGAGUGCCUUCAUUCUGGCUUCAGGGGCGCUUGAGAAACUCUUUGCACACAUAAUCAACGGUGCUGAUGGAGACAGCGAUGUCAGCAGUCAGAAGAUGGAGGUUGAGAAGGAGAUCUUUCGCGUUUAUGCAUACAAGGCAGAAGCUGCGUUUGCACAAGAGAAAUGGGAAGAGGCAUCAAAAUACUCAAAGGCAGCAAAGGACAUGCUCUUGCGACUCCCCAAAGAGGUACUUAUAUAAAUACUACCAGUUUAUUGAUUAAUUAUAGCAUCU